GGGACACCGGGGAGGGAAAGGCAGAGCCGGAAGACCGGGCGUUGGAAACAAACAGAGCCGGCAAGGGGUCUCCACCAUCGCCAGGAACCAUCGGGCAAUUUAUUGAACAGACCUCACCUCUGGCAACUUGACAAGGAGGGAGCAGAGGAGGAAACCCGUGCCAGCCAGGAGUCAUACUGGAAAAACCGUUCUAAAAUAAAACCUGGAAGGGCGAGA